rfam:Mesorhizobium loti strain TFLA 01-765 contig_1, whole genome shotgun sequence.
UGUCCAUGCCCUCCUUGGGCGUUUCCUCCCUAGACUUCGACCGUGUCGUGAAAACGAUGCGGUCUUUUUUUAGGCCGCG